UGGGAAUUGUGAUAACGUAAGGGAAAAAAAUGAUAUUACCUUACUAUUAGUGUUGUCCAAAACUGGUGCCGAGAGACUCGGUAAGGCCAGAGACGCGAACGUUAGUCGUCCUAAUCAGGCGUAAAGGGUGUGUAGGCUGCUUUAAGUAUAUUUUCGAAAGCUCUUUAAAUGGAAUAACCUUUCAUUCUAAGGAUAAAUAUAAUGAAUAAGAGCUAGGAUCAAAACGAGGAUAAGCCAAAUAAUACUUAGAGUAGGGAUAAUAUCCGUAGAUACUAAGUGGAAUACUAACGGUGAAAACUUUUUAUCUAGUAAUGAUUGACGCUGAGAAACGAAGGUGAGAAUAGGAAAUAGGAUUAGAUACCCAGAUACCUCUCACUGUCAACGAUGAAUGGUGGUUGUUAGUUUAUUAAAAACUGGUAACGAUGUUAACACGAUAACCAUUCCGCCUUGCGAGUACGGUUGCAAAACUGAAACCAAAA
rnacentral:rRNA from 1 species